GGAGGCCUUGUCGGAGGGACCUGCUAACUGCUAGCCUGCUACUUCGGGUGUUGAACCUGGUCUGGUGAAUGACAUGGUGAUUCUUUCAGCCAGACUUUGGCAAAGAAGACCAGUAGAAGGCAUAAGGAGCAACUUGUAUAAUGGAGUUAGUUCUUUCCAUGCUCAGGGUGGACGAGGUGUACAGUGACCUUUCUAGUGAUGUGGCUCCUGUCAUAACAACUAUGGCCAUAGCCGAUAAUGUGCCUCUGGUAGAAUCUUAAGUUCGGUAAAGUACAAGAAGGAAAUGCGUUGUCCUAUCACUUGCGAACAAAGACAGUGCCGAAAACCCGUCCACAUUCGGAUGCCCCUUCUCCUCCACAGCUGCCACUUUCUGGUUACAGUCGGGGACCAUCUACCUGUUCCUUCAUCUGCUCUGAGCAUCAGCAGCUCCACAUGAUGUCCCUGGCAACAUCACUUGAGACAGCUCACAAAAUUGAGAACGGCACAAAACAGCAGAAUUCCUGUGUAGAGUGGCACCAACUAAGGCGGUCCCACAUCACCUCCACCAAAUUCAGAGAGAUCUGUCACACCAGGCGACAGACCUCUGCUGAAAAUCUGGUGAAAAGGCUUCUGAGACCCAGCCAUCAGACUUGCAGACAUGAAGAGGGGGCUGGACAUGGAACCUGCAUUAGCAUAUCCUUGUGGGUUUCUUAUCCAUCCUGACACACCUUGGAUGGGGUCAUCACCUGAUGGCAUAGUGUAUGAUCCAAACGGGCAGCCAGAGUUUGGCCUUGUUGAAAUUAAAUGCCCAAAUGUUUCGAGUUAUAUGGACUGCCCAUACAUUAAGAUCAGUGAGGGCACACAUACACUAAGGAAAUCCCAUUCGUACUUUUGGCAGAUCCGGGGUCAGCUGUUAAUUUCUGAACUAUAAAGGUGUGACUUUGUUGUCUACACACAGAAAGACAUGUUCAUUCAGAGUAUUCCCAGAGACAAAGAAAUCACAGUCACAAUCAAAGAAAAUGUUGACUUGUUUUUUUUUUUUUACCUCUAUGCUUCCCUGCAAUAGAGAACUGCUCUGCACACUGCCUUACUCAGCUCAGUUUGUUACAGGGACUAUCAGAGGUAGUGUAUAUAGUGUAAUACUGUUUGUUUAAAUGUUUAUGUGUAAUUUUCUGUAGUGCACUAAUAUUUAUUGUUAAAGUGUACUGAAGUGGCAGAUCACAUAACAUGGUUAAAUGAAGUUUGAGUUGAAACAAAAAAAAGGUGAUAAGUGCAGUUGCAAGAACAAUACUUUCCUCAUAUUUUCAUAUGUUUGAUUAGAAAGAGAACUUAUUUUAAUUGUAAUUACAACUAUUCUAAUUAUCUGUUAGCUCCCUCUGCGGCUUCAUCUGUUUCGCUCUGCGGAUGUCUCAUUUUUUUCUCUGUAUUGAGUGUUUUGAUAGUGAUGAUCAUUUGGAGUGUUUUAACUCAGUGUA